rnacentral:rRNA from 1 species
CCUACGGGUGGCAGCAGUAGGGAAUAUUGCUCAAUGGGCGAAAGCCUGAAGCAGCAACGCCGCGUGGGGGAUGAAGGUCUUCGGAUUGUAAACUCCUGUUAUUAGAGAAGAUAAUGCCGGUAGCUAACGAAUAGGCACUUGCUAACUCCGGGCCAGCAGCCACGGUAAUACGGAGGGUGCAAGCGUUACUCGGAAUCACUGGGCGUAAAGGGCGCGUAGGCGGGAUUGCAAGUCAGAUGUGAAAUCCUAGGGCUUAACCUUAGAACUGCAUUUGAAACUGGUAAUCUAGAGUGUGGGAGAGGUAGGUGGAAGUCGUGGUGUAGGGGUAAAAUCCGUAGAGAUCAAGAGGAAUACUGAUGGCGAAGGCGACCUGCUGGCACAUAACUGACGCUGAUGCGCGAAAGCGUGGGGAGCAAACAGGAUUAGAUACCCCGGUAGUC